UACGUAGGGUGCGAGCGUUGUCCGGAAUUAUUGGGCGUAAAGAGCUUGUAGGCGGUUUGUCGCGUCUGCCGUGAAAUUUCGAGGCUCAACCUCGAACUUGCGGUGGGUACGGGCAGACUAGAGUGUGGUAGGGGAGACUGGAAUUCCUGGUGUAGCGGUGAAAUGCGUAGAUAUCAUUUGGAACGCCAACGGCGAAAAGCAGGCAGCUGGGGGAUGCACCGACGCUGAGACACGAAAGCCAGGGGAGCGAACGGG
rnacentral:rRNA from 1 species